CUCACAGCGAGCCACGUCACUGCGUUAAAAGUGUGGCCAGACCGACACGCCCCGCGCCCUUCCUCUCCAGACGCCACGCCCGAACGGACAUCGAUCGCCUGCUGCCCUUCCUCGCGAGGAUGACGCGCGCGGACCCUCGCCCCCAUCGAUCUGUGCUGCCUUCCUCGCUAGAUCGACGCGCGCGGACCCUCCCCCAUCCAUCUCUGCUGCCCUGCUCGCCAGAUGGGCCGACACCGGCUGACUCUCUUCCUCUUCCUCGCAUACCCAGCGAUCUCUUCCCCACCACGGAUCCGCCUCCGUUCAUCUUCGUCCAUCACCACCGCUCGCACGACUCCACCUCCGUUCCUCCUCCCCACGAAUGUACCGCCGCGACUUAAUCAAAGCACCUCAUAAAUUUGAGCAUUAAACAACUGGAAACUGCUCAAUGAAAAUCAUCCAUCAUCGAUGUUGCCUCCAGGUUAAAAAGCAGGGCAUGGUACCAUCCGCAUCCGCACCAAUGACACCAGUUUGCUCGCGCCGCCACCACGCCCAGCAGCCUUCGAUUGAGAUCCGGAUGGGAUUCCGCUUGAUGUUCUGCCCCUUCACCUGAUUCCAAUGGAUUAUGUCUGCUGCUACCUCAGGAUGCACACUUCUUAUAGAUAAAUUCGUCCCGUUUGGACCUGUACCGUGCAAACUAUCUUUGGUAGUCUUGAGAGAUAAAGACGUUGAUUUAUCCGUGCCUUUUAAUUAUUUGAAUAGUGUAUGUCAUUUAGAAGAAGCAACGGAAGAAACCGUCAUGGUAAAUAAGACAUGGGAAGUGAGAUUCAUAAAAAAACUCAGUAAUAACUUUACUGCUACCUCCAGUUGUUUAUCUGAUCCCUACUAUGAUUUAUUUUUCAUUGUCAGCCUUCCAGGUGCCUCAAUCGGUCCAUAAUGUAGGCAACAACUAAAGAUGUAUUUGUAUUCUAUCGAAUAACAGUGGUUCACUUAGUAGUCAGUAUACUCCACGAGCAAUCUCUCUUUCUUCCAGGAGCAUAAGUUAGCAAGAAGAUAUAUUGUAGUCUUUCACAGCUUGCUUUUUGUCGUCCUAAAGCACAUGUUUUUAAUCCGAUGGUAUAGAACUACUGAUCUUCUUCUCCAUGCCUUAUACUUCUAUUAUUUCGCAUAGCCUUUUGCAUGAUACCGGUGAUCUGAUAAUGCAUCCUACCUUGCUGCAGCGCUAUUGCUGUGGUAAAUUGUAUUGAUCAUUUCAUUAUUACCUGUAAAAUAUACUUAAUGUUAUCUUUCUUUAUUUUCACCUCAAGAUGCAUAUAAAGUUCUUGAGGAUUCAUAUUGUAAUGCUUCUUCUGUCAACUUUGUGCAAUAUUGUUCAUGCCAUCCCUGGAACGAUCCAUCCCAGUUUGAUAUAUACUUCUUUUGUCCCUUGAUAUUUGUUUGGCUUCAGACAACACAUGACACCCCAAUCUGAGUAUCUACUUGAUUGAGUUAACAAAGGUUAGCACACAUGUAUACUGGGUAUGACGCAUUGUGUCAAAAACUCAUGUCCUAGGUUAUUUCUACCCAGGUUUCUAAACACAUGAUUUUGCAUUCAUUCCAAAUACAAAUCAACUAGGUAUGCGUCUGUAAAAGCAUUAACUAGGUAUGCUAGGUCAUGUCUUUAUAGUCUAUGUAUACUAACCCAUAUAUAUUUAUUUAUGACAUUGCUGCUUUUAGGUCUGCAACAAAUUAUGUAAUCUUAUGCAAUUCAGUUUUCAUCGGUUUACUGACUCAUAAAUGUAUUUUUUCGUGUAGACUUUUCUCUACUGAACCUAUGGUGAUGUGAUUUCAGAAAGUAAAGUGCAGAAAUUUGGUGAACAUGGUAAACAGUCUGAUUUUAGACAUAAGGCCGUCAGAUUCCGCAUGUUUUGGGCUCAUUAGACAUAAACAACUGACAUCGCUAGCUACUCCAAUUUGUGCAAUUGUUUUCUAAAAUUAGUUCUGAACUCCGUUAUCAUUCAGAUGUGUGUUAUGUUCUUUAUCUUGAGAACUAUCUAUCGUUCCCCACUUUUAUAUGUCUUAAUUUGGUUCAGACAUACCUUUUGCAUGAUCUAUAACGCUUUGCAAUUGUUCU